UUUCGGUGCAGGUGGGCAUGUGCUAAUUCAAUUAUAUGCCUCUGUCACUGCCAGCAGCCUCCGGCUGCAGGGAGACGAGUCAGGAGGUACGCUGGGCCUGAGGAGGCACAGCAUUACUGCCCAUGGGGUCAGCCUGCAGUAGCUGUUCCACAUCUGUUCCUCUUGUGGAUGCUUGCUGACCCAAGGCUGAAGAUGCCUUUCUGCAAUUUAGCUCCAUUCUGUUCAGCAGUGAGUUAACUGAAGCGGACACAGACAUCUUCAGCGAGGAGUGAAAGCGUCUCCAUGCAUUUUUCACCUGUAGAUGCAGAUUUGUGGGUCCCUUUCUUCUCUGCCCAAGGAGCCAGAAAGUAUCACGAGCCAUUUUGCAUCAACCCUGUGAAAAGUGAGCUUGGGGCUUGAGUCUGGAGCACUGAAGCUAGAAGCAGGAGAGAUUUUGCACAGUAGCACGAUGGGUAUGAGUCUGGAGCCGCCGUGCACUGGAGUCCCUCAGAGAACGCGGACUCCACUGAUCUUGGUACUGACUAAUCCCACACACUGUACAGGCUGUCUCCUUCAGCAGCAAGCCACGGUCAUCAUGGCAACCACAAGCAGAGCUGCUUGUGAGCAGAAUGGCAGCGACUGGCUGCUUAAGGUAGCAGUCUGUGUAACUUCUCAAACCCCUCUUUCAUCCACAGGACUUCUUUUGUCCAUGAUACAGAAUUGCUAAUUCCUCCAGUACCAGGAAAGGCUGGUGGGGAUGCUCCACCCGAACAACCUGCAGACAGGGACCAACAGAAACUCCCUUUUGCUGAAAUACCGCUCUCACUUGAACAGGGAGUGCUGUGCCCAUGGAAGAUUGAAGGACAGACUGCAAAGCAGCAAAGGAUCCACUGUGCCAGCCCAGUCACUGACUGCCAAACCUUUGUACUGUCUUAGGGAGUUGCUCACCUGAAGGAAGUUUAUCUGCUUGUAAUGGAAAAGGGCAGUGCAUAGCCUGAAGGUAAGCCAAUACUUAGACACGAAUUUAUGGCCAGCUUGCUGCCUCCAUUCACACCGGGAUCUCCCUCAGUGAAGUACUGUCACAUGUUAUAUCAUCCUGAUAGGUACAGAAGAUUUACUAUGAACACUUGUAAUGCCUUGAGCUUAGGCAGGAAUCCAUACACGCUGUUUUUUCUUUUGUUCCCACUUGUGAGUGGCAUACAUACGCUGUGGGCGGUGGUGGAAGCCCUGUGCACAGUACGCACGACUUGUAUUUGCUGUUUAACGCAGAGCUGCUGCCUGUUUCCUGUGGCCUUCAGUGAAUAUUAAUGGGAGGGGAGUAGGACAGUAUUGCUGUAACUUUCUGAUCUUUGUAUUUCAUGCAAUUGUCUUGUUCUUACAGGUGUGCUAGAUUGAUGUUUGGCAAUAUUACCCAGUAGUAGCUGCAAGGGGGCACAUCCCUCUGAUGAGUCAUGGGACGUAGUCCACAUGAGCCAUGUCCAUUAAUAAAGCUGACACGACACCCCAUGGGUCCCUUGUUUCUACAAACUGCUAACGUGCUUAUGUCCAUUCAGGUACUGGCAUAGAAAACAUUCCCAAGCCACUGCAAAACUAUGCACUUUCUGACACUACUUCUAUAUAGCGAUCAAAAUAAACUAUUGCAGUCUUUUGUCACUCUUUGCACAGCCAGACCAGAGGAGAACUGAGCAACAGGCUCUGUUUGCUGGUAAACUGAGGAUACCACAAUGAGUGCAGGAAGAGGUAGAUCCUCAAAGAAAGGGGGGUGAAGAUCUGAAGGAACCUGCAGACCAUUCUGUCACCAGCGUAAGAAGCAUCUGCUUUCUAGGCAACUGACAGCAUCUGCCACAUGAAGAAUAUGACAGGAGCCUGUUACCACCACUGUACAGAAGCUGGUUUCUUCUAACAAUUCUUAAGAAACAAACAGACUUACUUGUCAAGAAAUUUAAGAUUUAAACCCACCUGGCAGUCCGGAAUCGCUGACAAAGUUUCUCCACCAAGCUC